GAUGAACGCUGGCGGCGUGCCUAAUACAUGCAGUCGAGCGAACAGACGAGGAGCUUGCUCCUCUGACGUUAGCGGCGGACGGGUGAGUAACACGUGGAUAACCUACCUAUAAGACUGGGAUAACUUCGGGAAACCGGAGCUAAUACCGGAUAAUAUAUUGAACCGCAUGGUUCAAUAGUGAAAGACGGUUUUGCUGUCACUUAUAGAUGGAUCCGCGCCGCAUUAGCUAGUUGGUAAGGUAACGGCUUACCAAGGCAACGAUGCGUAGCCGACCUGAGAGGGUGAUCGGCCACACUGGAACUGAGACACGGUCCAGACUCCUACGGGAGGCAGCAGUAGGGAACCUUCCGCAAUGGGCGAAAGCCUGACGGAGCAACGCCGCGUGAGUGAUGAAGGUCUUCGGAUCGUAAAACUCUGUUAUUAGGGAAGAACAAAUGUGUAAGUAACUAUGCACGUCUUGACGGUACCUAAUCAGAAAGCCACGGCUAACUACGUG
rnacentral:rRNA from 1 species